rnacentral:rRNA from 1 species
UACAGAGGUGGCAAGCGUUGUUCGGAAUUACUGGGCGUAAAGGGCGCGUAGGCGGCCUUGUAAGUCUCGUGUGAAAGCCCUCGGCUUAACUGAGGAUCUGCACGGGAUACUGUAAGGCUCGAGUUCGGGAGAGGAAAGCGGAAUUCCGGGUGUAGCGGUGAAAUGCGUAGAUAUCCGGAGGAACACCAGUGGCGAAGGCGGCUUUCUGGACCGACACUGACGCUGAGGCGCGAAAGCUAGGGGAGCAAACGGG